CAAUGUUGACAGUGAGUCUACAAUUUUUCUAUGCAAAGAUACAGUGCGGCAUGAUAGGAGCAAGCACGUUGAUACGAUGUAUCAUUACAUAAAAGACUGCGUGGAAGAAGGUAAGAUGGAGGUCAACUAUAGUUGCACCGACGAUCAGUUAGCGGACAUCCUAACCAAGACUUUGGACAGAGAGAAGCACUUGAAGAUGCGAACAAGGAUCGGCGUCGGAGCUAUGACGUGAUGACGUCGUGUAGGACCACAUCAUGUUUAGGGAGGUGAUUGUUAGACUUAAACAUGAAUUAGUACAUGGCAGGUGUACGUGGUCUUGUAGGAUUCCUAGUCCAACUAGGAUUAGUAGUCCGGACCGAUCCGGUCAUGUAGGUAGCUAGUCUAAACUAGUAUAUAUAUAUACAUGUACCUGGCCCAUGUAAUCUAACACAUCAAAGCAAUAAAGAAGUAGCAGGAACGACACGUUCCUCUUGCUAUCAAUCUAGCGACUUGUGUGCGUACGUGCAUCUUGUGUUUGGGCCGGAAUCAAUCAACUAGAUUGGUGGCUUAGCUUGUACGUGCACAUCGCAGGCUACGGUGUCAAUCGCUCAAGAACGCUCGAGCCUUGGGGCAGAAACCAAGACAGUUAGCUUCGCUUUGUCUUCAUCGUCGUUCAUCGUCGGUCGUUGCCGUCGCCAAAAAGUACUUGGCGUCGGGUCUGGGCCAACAACGCCGACUGGUGUCGAGGGCAUCUGGACACUGUUUGGUGGCGCCGCUCCAUCGGCCUGCCUAGGCCGCGGCUGCCGAGCGUUUUGCAUCGCCCGGCCAUGAAAGCGCCUGCUCCCGGACCGCCAGCGCCCGGCUUGCUCCUCUGGAUCACGGUCGCGCCCGGUGUUGCAUGUGCUGGCUCGUUCAGAGGCGCCGGUCGUGGACGCAUCGGUGGAGAUGCGCGGCGAAGACCCGCCAGGCCGAUGCUGCGUGUUGUCGAAGCAUAUCAGUCCGCUAGGAUCGCCGGGUCUGGUACUACGUCGACCUGUACGCCAGCAGUGCACCACCAUGCACUGGAUUUGGAGGAGGAGAUUUUUGGAACCGAUCUCUCCACCGGUUUCCUGUGAUUUUUGAGAUAAUAGGGCCUCAGAUUUAUUUGUGUCUAAAGAAGAACUAAUCUAACCGAAAUUGGAAAAUUGAGAAAUUGAUCUAAUCUAACUAAGGAACCGAUCUCAACAUCUUUGAUCGAUCGGAUGCCGUGCCCCCGAGGCGAAGAGAUUAAUCUCCUCGGAGGCGGCGCGCUGCGGAAGUGGUGAGAAGUCCUAGGAUCGGCGUCGUGAGACUAACCGCUCUAAUACCAUGUGGAAAAUAUUGGAUGGAUGAAUAUUGUUUUGUUGUAUUGAUCUGACCCUCGUAAGGGUAUAUAUAGAGUACAACAUGCGAUGAGACUUGGAGUACAAGACAAGUCAUAGUAUAUUAAAACUAAUUCUAUCUCCAUCUCUCUUAUCUCUAACUAAAUACGUUUAUAUUCUAACAAUUCCCACAAAAACAAUACUGAUCAAAGAGGUCAUUAAGAAAUUUGUCCAUGGAAAGAUGGUGCCAACCAUCAUUGUGCAACUAAAAUAUAUAUCAGCUAACACUUGUGUCUAAUUAAUCAUCAUUGUUUCUUGCAAAUACUUAAGCUCACUACUGAACCUUAUUUUGUUCGCAGUGCACAUCAUAUGAUCACUAGAAGUCUAAGCUAGUAUAACUGUAGUGCCUUGCACUAACGCUCUAUACGGAGUAGCACCAAUUAUUAAACCCAUUACAGGUCGCGUAAAGAGCGAUCACUCGCGCUAGCCACGUCGGCACAGGUAGGACAAAAGAAAACUCGAGCUAGUGAACGGGUUGGGCAGGAGCGCCUCGUUUUGAUUGGAGAAAAUAAUCUUUGUGUGUCGUGGCAAGAUAACCAGAAGGAUUUGCCUUCCUCACGAAGGAAAACCUCACCCCUUCCCUUCCCUCGCCGCAGCCACUCCCUCCCCUUCUCUGCCGCCUCCCCUCCCCGCCCUGCCCCUCCCCUCAUCUCUGCACCAUGGUGAAGCAACGCGGCGACUCUCCCUGAUCAGCGCCUCUCUGACUGGCUCGGGGCUCGGGCCCGACGCCUCCGCUCGCCGCUGCGCCUACGGAUCUGAGCUCUCGCGCAGUGGCGGUGGUAGGAAGGUGCGGCGCUGCUCGUUCCCACAGCCGCGACGGCAAGAGCUAGAAGGCGGGCGGCGGCGUGAGCUCUCAUCCUAAGGAUGCAGCAGGAGGACGAGCACAACCCGGACGAUGUCCAUGCGGUCGUCGGCCCCUACUCCGCCGUGGCAGGCCCCAACACACACCCCACGACGUCGUCUGCGUCGAUCUGAAACCCACACUGGAUGGGAAGAAUGUGGGGAUGGAGAUGUGAGUCAUUUUCUUUGGAUCUCCUACUGAAGAAUUUGAAGCUUUCUGUCUGUGUCGAGGAUGUCCAGUGCAGAGGAGGAUUUUUGCCCCAGGUGAGAUCACGAUAUCAUGCAUCCUCUUUCCUAUUUAUUGCUCAGAUCAGCACAAUGCUUUAGUCCUUUGGUUAUUGUUGUUCACCUGCUGAUAAUACACCAGGCCUUGUUAUUUGCUUCUUGUGUAUUCUGACAGGAGAAAAGAGCUCAUGGCACUUUCAAGAUAUAGAGAAAUCAAAUGUUAAAAAUAGAUCGCUCAAAAGAAGCAGAGACAAUACACUGAUAUACCCAAUUCUACUUGAAUUUUCAUCUAGCUUUAAAGGAUCCUGACACGGAAUGUGUAUUAGCUACCUGUAGCAUGCAAUGGUGAAAAAGAGUAAAGCUGAUGCUGAUCUAGAAAGUUUUUUCUGAUAUUGAUGAUGUGGAGCCUCGUUUUACUACUAUAAGCAAGAGCCAUGUGUCAUCUCCCUUGGCGAACAAGGUAAAAAAGAGGACCUUACUAUUGGUUACAUUAUUAUGGUUUAGUCCUGCUCUUUGCUUACAUGUGAUACCCUAGAUAUUAUUAUUCAACUUAAAUAGGGAAUUGAUAGUUUUCUGGAAAGCACUACACUAGUAGGAAAAGGGGCUUUUACCCCGGUUUGUAAGGGCCUUUUGUCCCGGUUUUCGAACCGGGACUAAAGGGUC